UUUCCUGAGAUAAAGCAGUAAGAUUGCCUUGUGUAACAAGAAUCAGCACGAGACUAAGACUGCUCUUUGAGAAUGAUCAUUAUCAGCUCAUUUGGGUAGAAGAUGAUGAUGAUGCCAGUUCACUAAUGGGAUCUCUGUGUGGGACCAUGAACACUGUUUAAAAGAAUAGGUAUAGAUUUGUGAUCAAGAACAAUACUGGCAAGGGAUUGAAGAUCAAGCUCAACAGCUAGCCCAGCUGAGCCUUCAGUUGGCUGAAAUCACAGCCAGCAUCUCAUUGCCUAACUGACCUAAGCAGGAAGUACCCAGCUGAGCUGAGUCAAUCCACAGUGUCAUGAGAGGUAAUAAGUUGUUGCUGUAAGGCCAUAAGUUUAGGGUUAUUUUUUAUGAAACAAUAAGAUAACUUGAGCACCAACCGUCAUUUGUUUGUUUGCAGCAGAAAAUAAGCACAAAUCAAUAAUCAUAACUAUUAAUAACAGUAGCAGUAAUAAGGCCAUUUAUUUUUGUUUUGCUAAAUGUUUUGUCAGCAAAUUUUAUUGAAAUAAGGUCAUCCAAUUUUUCGGGAACAAAG
rnacentral:lncRNA from 1 species